GCCUGAAUGGCUCAGUUAAGCCUCUGACUUCCACUCAGGUCAUGAUCUCAGGGUUUGUGGGUUCAAGCCCCGUGUCAGGCC
rnacentral:tRNA from 1 species